rnacentral:rRNA from 1 species
UACGGAGGGUGCAAGCGUUAUCCGGAUUCACUGGGUUUAAAGGGUGCGUAGGCGGGCAGGUAAGUCAGUGGUGAAAUCUCCGAGCUUAACUCGGAAACUGCCGUUGAUACUAUUUGUCUUGAAUAUUGUGGAGGUAAGCGGAAUAUGUCAUGUAGCGGUGAAAUGCUUAGAUAUGACAUAGAACACCAAUUGCGAAGGCAGCUUACUACACAAUUAUUGACGCUGAGGCACGAAGGCGUGGGGAUCAAACAGG